rnacentral:rRNA from 1 species
UGCGUAGGUGGUUUUGUAAGCGCAGGGUGAAAGGCAACGGCUUAACCGUUGUUAGCCCCGCGAACUGCGAGACUUGAGUGCAGGAGAGGAAAGCGGAAUUCCUAGUGUAGCGGUGAAAUGCGUAGAUAUUAGGAGGAACACCAGUGGCGAAGGCGGCUUUCUGGACUGUAACUGACACUGAGGCACGAAAGUGUGGGGAGCAAACA